AUUGAACGCUGGCGGCAGGCCUAACACAUGCAAGUCGAACGGUAACAGGAAGCAGCUUGCUGCUUUGCUGACGAGUGGCGGACGGGUGAGUAAUGUCUGGGAAACUGCCUGAUGGAGGGGGAUAACUACUGGAAACGGUAGCUAAUACCGCAUAACGUCGCAAGACCAAAGAGGGGGACCUUCGGGCCCCUUGCCUUCGAUUGUGCCCAGAUGGGAUUAGCUAGUAGGUGGGGUAACGGCUCACCUAGGCGACGAUCCCUAGCUGGUCUGAGAGGAUGACCAGCCACACUGGAACUGAGACACGGUCCAGACUCCUACGGGAGGCAGCAGUGGGGAAUAUUGCACAAUGGGCGCAAGCCUGAUGCAGCCAUGCCGCGUGUAUGAAGAAGGCCUUCGGGUUGUAAAGUACUUUCAGCGGGGAGGAAGGGAGUAAAGUUAAUACCUUUGCUCAUUGACGUUACCCGCAGAAGAAGCACCGGCUAACUCCGUG
rnacentral:rRNA from 1 species